rnacentral:lncRNA from 1 species
GUAAGUUCAUCAAAGUGACAAUUUGCAUCUCUCUCUCAGUGUCCUUUGUUUAUUUCUGUCAUUGAAUAUUAUUGGAAUACCAAAAACAUCUAUUAUAUGCUUAAUUCAUCAGGAAGAAGAACUAAGAGAAAAAUGGAUGUGCAUUGAAAAGCAGGGGCCAUCACUGAAAUGGAAUAUUUUGUACAGGUGAAGAUCCUGAGGUUGAAAAUGCACUUAAUCAAUGGUUUUCUCUCAUAACUGAAUGAAGCAGGGCCAGUGCAAGCAGGUUCAGCACAUUCGCUGGAACCAGGCUCCGCGGUCUACGAAAAUUACCCAAUUAAAAAACACCGAUUUUAAUUAACUUUUUACAGAAUGAUGAUACCAUUAACCAUUACCAUUAAAAAAAGAUAUCAUUACCAUUAAAAAAAGAAGGCAAAAGAGUUAGCCAUGGUGCUGGAUCAUGAUGGGUUUAAAGCUGCAAAUGGCUAGUUAUCCCAAUGGAAAUGUAUGCAUGGAUUAAAUUUAAGAAAUUACACAGCAAGAAAGAAAGUGCUGAUGUUGAGAGUGCAGAGUACUGGAAAAACAAGAGACUACUGGCAUUCAGGAAUUUCAACAUUCAGGAAAUUUUUCAUUCAUUCAGGAAUUUUCAACAGACAUUUACAGUGUGAAUGAAACAGGUUUGUUUUAUUGUGCAUCACCCAAUAGUUUUUUAUGCUAUGUUUAUAAAAACUUUCUCACGUUCAGUUUCUACAGUUUUUGGUAUACUGUAUAAAAAUGCUUCAUGAUCAGAUAACAUCAAUAAAGAAAAUAAUAAAAACUUCUUUUUAAAUUGUUUUGAAUUCUUUAGUGUAACAAUAAAACUAUUCAAUACAUGCUCUGUAGUAUAUAAAUACUGUAAUAUGUGAAAUCUGAUAUAUGUUAGGUUUAUAUGUUUAAUUUCGGAUUAUUUGAUCAAUCACUUUAUUCAACCAAAAAUGCCUUGCCCUAAUUUGGUCAGAUUGACAAGAGUCAACUGUGUAUAAAAUCUAGUAAUUUCUCAGCAGAUUUAGAAAUUUUCAGUACAAGCCUGGGAUAAAUUAGUAACAAUAAUACAAAUCAAGAACCUCUAUGUUUGGAUUAUUAAUAAUUUGAAAAUUGAUAGAACAUAGACAAUCAUAUAAAGUAAGAUCACCAUAUUUCUGAAUAUUCAAAAUACUCUAGUUAUAAUUCACUAGAUUAUGACAACAUAAUUUAAUCACAACUUUUUUUGAUGCAUAAUUUAAUAAUUACAAUUUUUUUUGUUACCUU